rnacentral:tRNA from 1 species
AGGGGCUUAGGAUAGCACAUAGACCGUGAGCCUUCAAAGCUCCUAGCAGGAGUGAAAAUCUCCUAGCCCCUG